AAGGUUUUAAGUUAAGAAAACUAUAAGCCUUCAAAGCUUAAAAUAAAGAUAUACCUCUAAACCUUG
rnacentral:tRNA from 2 species